AAAAGCUUCGAGUAAUACAUCUCUAAAUUUCUAUCCAUUCACAGGAUCCUUAAGCUUCCAGACCCUUCUUCUCCAUGCUGGUCAUAUUCUGGGCAUCCAUAAAGCCCUGAUCCUGAAGUCGCUAACUACUAAUCUAUGUUGUGGGAUGCAUUCUUCACCUGGGAAGGUUUUGGCAUUUAUAAGUAGCCAUCUUUCCCAUUUCCUGGUGAGGAUGUAGUCAAUUUGACUAUUGUGUCCACCAGACCAGUAGGUGAAUAGGUGACUGACAGGUUUCCCGAAGUUAAUAUCACAAACCAUAAGAUCAUUUGCAUCAUAGAACUCCAGCAGCCUGGUUCUCUCCUCAUUGAAGGAACCAAAACCAUAGCUUCCAUGUGUGCCAUGGAAGCCUCUGGCAUGUUGUCCAACAUGCGCAUUGAAGUUGCCAGCCACAAAGAGAAGGUCGCUACUAUUCAUCGACAAAGUAGUCUGCAAGGGGAUGUCAUAAAAUCGGUCUUUUUGUUCAUCAGGUAGCUCCAGCUGUGGGGCAUAAGCCGAUAUAAUGGUUGUUAAUCCAUGUUGCAGCAUUAAUCUAAUAAUAAGUUUUGUCACUGACUCUGACUACCUUGAUUACCUUAUCAACCCAUUUCUCCACAAGAAGUAUAUCCACACCCCCAACCCCAUCAGUGUUCCCUGCCCAGAAAAUCUUAUACCUAUGUUCUUUGCCUGUGAAUAACCUAGCAGAACUUCCUCUCCACCUUACUUCUUGGAUGCAGCACAAAUCUACAUGUCUCUGUUCAAGCAUCUCAACAAUUUCCCAGACAUACCUUUUGGUGUGCCAACUCUGAGGGUGUGGACAAUGUGGCCCCGCAAGACCCUGGGAUGGGGAACAGCAGCAUCAUGUACCUGAAAAGAAAGCUCACAUUUGGCAGAACUCAUAAACAUACAAUAGCCUUCAACCUGAAUACACUACACCAUUUUAUGCGGUACAUAAUCACUACAUUACAUAAGAGAUUAACCCUAAGUAAGGAUGAGGGAACAUGAAGCCUUUGGAGGUGUUCUUGGGAAAAACAUCCGGUAGAGAUCAGAGGAUAAAGACUUCCAAUACAGAUAGUGGGGGUGGGAAGGGCAGGUGCACCGUGAAAAAGCAAAAACUCAGGCUGCUGGUGUGAAAGAGUAGUAAUGAUAGCAAUGAGAUAGAGUUCUUAACUAGAGUUAUAACAAACAGUUUUCGGUCAGCCAAACUGUAACAAAAUUAGAUAAAUGAAUGAAUAAAUAACAAUAAUAAAUGAGCGUGAAAGAGGGGGAGAAGGGAUAAAGAGUGAAGGGAGAGCUGGAUUGAGUGUAGGGAUCUUAAGUUUUUUCUCUAAACAUACAGCAUGGAAGACGAAACCAUAUUUAAAAACAUAGAUAAUGAAAUUAAAUAAUAAAGUAAUUAUAAUUUGUGCUGAAAAAGAGGUUUUAGAUGUGUGCUAGGUUGGAAUACAAAGUUGCUUAUCUGAACAUCUCAUUUCUACUCUGUGUGGCGAGGUGUUUCUUGAAAACAUCUACUCCAACUCCAUGAAGGUCCCUCAGAUGUUUUAGCCAGGAGCUAAGUAGCUGUGGGCCUUGAAUCCCAAGUUAUUGCAGUACAUGUUCCUCGCCCUAGAUGAUACAGUUGGGACUUUUGGAACAGUGCAGCGACAUCCAUUUUGACAUCUGUUAUAACUCUCAAUUCAAAAUUUGGUGCCAUUCCCUCCAGUAUCUUCCAUACAUAUAUCUCUCCCGUUUUCACUCCAGGGAGUAGAGCCAUAGCUCUUUCAGUCUCUCCCAGUAGCUCAGCUGUUCCAUUGAUGCAAUCUUCUUCAUGUAGUAUCUCUGAAUUGCCUCAAGUUCUACUAUUAAUCCUACAGUGUAGGGUGACCAUAGUUGAGAGCAUAGUCCAGAUAGCUGAGGACAAAUGUCCUCCAUAGGACCAGCAUAGUUUCCUGGUCCCUUCUUCUGAAGGUUCUCAGAAUCCAUCCGGCCAUUCGCCUGCACACUGCCACCAUCUUGCUGACAUGCAAGUGAAACAAGGCAUUGUUGCUGAUGUCAAUCCCAAGAUCACGCACUGUAUUUGCUUCUUGGAUUUCUGCUCCUUUUCACCCAAAGUAUUGUUGUUGCGACUUCUGAGCACCAAUUAGCUGGUAGCAGAGGGCUUGGAAUUUGCCUGCAUUAAAUUGCAUGUUCUUGUCCUCAGCCUAUUUAUAAUAUGGCAUCUAGGUCUUUCUGUAGAAGAUUAGCAUCAGACGGUUCCUUGACUGCUUGUACUACUUUUGUGUCAUCAGCAUAACUAUUAAGUAAGGCUAUCUGUGUAACUGAUGCAUGUC
rnacentral:lncRNA from 1 species